CGUGGCGUAGUGGUAUGACACCUGGUUCGGAAGCCACAGGUCCUAGUUCGAGUCCAGGCA
rnacentral:tRNA from 11 species